rnacentral:tRNA from 1 species
UCCCUGGUAGUCCAGUAGCUAAGACUCUGAGCUCCUAGUACAGGGGGCCUGGGUUCAAUUCCUGGUCAGGGAA